GGAUGAAUAUUGGUCAAUGGGCGGAAGCCUGAACCAGCCAAGUAGCGUGAAGGACGACUGCCCUAUGGGUUGUAAACUUCUUUUAUGCGGGGAUAAAGUUCGCCACGUGUGGCGUUUUGCAUGUACCUUAUGAAUAAGGACCGGCUAAUUCCGUGCCAGCAGCCGCGGUAAUACGGAAGGUCCGGGCGUUAUCCGGAUUUAUUGGGUUUAAAGGGAGCGUAGGCCGGAGAUUAAGCGUGUUGUGAAAUGUAGUGGCUCAACCUCUGCACUGCAGCGCGAACUGGUCUUCUUGAGUACGCACAACGUGGGCGGAAUUCGUGGUGUAGCGGUGAAAUGCUUAGAUAUCACGAAGAACUCCGAUUGCGAAGGCAGCUCACGGGAGCGCAACUGACGCUGAAGCUCGAAAGUGCGGGUAUCGAACAGGAUUAGAUACCCUGGUAGU
rnacentral:rRNA from 1 species